rnacentral:rRNA from 1 species
UGGGGAAUAUUGGACAAUGGGCGCAAGCCUGAUCCAGCCAUGCCGCGUGAGUGAUGAAGGCCCUAGGGUUGUAAAGCUCUUUUAGCGGGGAAGAUAAUGACGGUACCCGCAGAAUAAGCCCCGGCUAACUUCGUGCCAGCAGCCGCGGUAAUACGAAGGGGGCUAGCGUUGCUCGGAAUCACUGGGCGUAAAGGGCGCGUAGGCGGCCAUUCAAGUCGGGGGUGAAAGCCCAGGGCUCAACCCUGGAAUUGCCUUCGAUACUGUUUGGCUAGAGACCGGAAGAGGUUAGUGGAACUGCGAGUGUAGAGGUGAAAUUCGUAGAUAUUCGCAAGAACACCAGUGGCGAAGGCGGCUAACUGGUCCGGUUCUGACGCUGAGGCGCGAAAGCGUGGGGAGCAAACAGG